ACAUACGACCAUAGGGUGUGGAAAACAGGGCUUCCCGUCCGCUCAGCCGUACUUAAGCCACACGCCGGUUGGUUAGUAGUUGGGUGGGUGACCACCAGCGAAUCCUAACAUUUGUAUGUA
rnacentral:rRNA from 1 species